CACAAUCCUGCAUCCUGGGAGUAUUUGCUGCAUCCUUACCACUUUGUAAAACAUUUCAAAGAUAAAAUGUAGCAGAGACCAUUGAAGGUGCUCCAUAGCAGUGUACUGGACCCAUCCUGUCCAGCCCUACCUCGUUGGGUGCUCUCAUCAUUGGUAGAGCACAGGAAAAUGGCUGAUGUCCACAGCCACUUCCUGUGCUCCCUGGUCAGAAACGAGCAACAGCAGGCAUGCAAAUAGCAUGUCACCACUGCUGUGAGCACUCUGCAGCAGAUCAAAGAUCACAGAUGUCUAUUCUUAGGAGAAUACUAUUACUGAUGCCAUGUUUGCAAACUUCAAGAACCUGUCUGUUAUGGACAAACUUGAUGCUCUGUCUUCCCUAGACAACCUAAAUAAGGCUAUAUACUUACUGAUGGAAAAGCUUCAGGAAUGGAUGACAUGCUGUCUGAAGUUAUCAAGAAAAACACAUCUAAGAUAAGAAUGGAAUAGGCAAGACCUACAAAGCCAGACAUGUUGUGUUUCCAGGAUGCAGACUUUCAUGGACGUCAAGGUUUCCUCAGGAGCUGUCAGUUCAGUUUACCAUCUGUCGGCUUUCCCACAUAACUUUGAGGUAACAGGUGGGGGCCUCAUUAAUACCUCACUUUGUUUUUGCCUGACUGGAAACUGGUUUUGCCUAGAACUGGUUGGCCUUUUGAAUUUUGUUUUAAGAAGCAGCAUGCAAGAAGAACGACUCGUUUUUCUCCCAUUAAUGUGCCCAAUUUUGGCACACUGAAUCCNGACUCUGCUGGAACCCUAAAGUGUGAAGGAAGUCCACAACAAAAACUGUUCUAGGCCACUAUUUAAAAUUUCACUGGCAUACUUGGACAAGAAGCCAUCAUUUUAAUCUUCUACAAUGUCCCAGAACUGUGCAGCCUUAUAAUAAUAGCUUCAUUCAGGGCUGGUUUAAUGAUUUCAGGACCCUAUGUAAAAAAAUUGUUUGGUGUGCUCCAAUAUCCAAUUUAGGCAGGCAGAAUGGAAGCUUCCCAGAAGCUCCAGCUCAGCACCAUUGCUCUACCAACCAUCCUUCAGACAGCAAAAUGGAUAUGUAUGCUGAUCUACAAAAUAUUCCAUGCUCUGCAUUUCUACCCACUAAUAAUAAAGAAUUAAGAAAUCCUUUCCA
rnacentral:lncRNA from 1 species